UACGUAGGGUGCGAGCGUUGUCCGGAAUUAUUGGGCGUAAAGGGCUCGUAGGCGGUCUGUCGCGUCGAAAGUGAAAACCCAGGGCUUAACCCUGGGCCUGCUUCCGAUACGGGCAGACUAGAGGUAUGCAGGGGAGAACGGAAUUCCCGGUGUAGCGGUGAAAUGCGCAGAUAUCAGGAGGAACACCGGUGGCGAAGGCGGUUCUCUGGGCAUUACCUGACGCUGAGGAGCGAAAGUGUGGGGAGCGAACAGG
rnacentral:rRNA from 1 species